rnacentral:rRNA from 1 species
GAGAGAGGCUUCGGCCUCGAUUGAGUGGCAAACGGGUGAGUAACACGUGGGUGACCUACCUUCGAGUGGGGGAUAACGUCCCGAAAGGGACGCUAAUACCGCAUAACAUCCUGCCUUUGAACAGGCGGAGAUCAAAGCCGGGGAUCGCAAGACCUGGCGCUUGAUGAGGGGCCCGCGUCUGAUUAGCUAGUUGGUGAGGUAAUGGCCCACCAAGGCGACGAUCAGUAUCCGGCCUGAGAGGGCGGACGGACACACUGGGACUGAGACACGGCCCAGACUCCUACGGGAGGCAGCAGUGGGGAAUUGUUCACAAUGGGCGCAAGCCUGAUGACGCAACGCCGCGUGGAGGAUGAAGGUCUUCGGAUUGUAAACUCCUGUUGCUCGGGACGAAAAGCCUCGACCUAAUACGUCGAGGUCUGACGGUACCGAGUGAGGAAGCCCCGGCUAACUCUGUGCCAGCAGCCGCGGUAAUACAGAGGGGGCAAGCGUUGUUCGGAAUUACUGGGCGUAAAGGGCGCGUAGGCGGCCCGCUAAGUCGAACGUGAAAUCCCCGAGCUCAACUCGGGAACUGCGUCCGAUACUGGCGGGCUUGAAUCCGGGAGAGGGAUGCGGAAUUCCAGGUGUAGCGGUGAAAUGCGUAGAUAUCUGGAGGAACACCGGUGGCGAAGGCGGCAUCCUGGACCGGCAUUGACGCUGAGGCGCGAAAGCUAGGGGAGCAAACGGGAUUAGAUACCCCGGUAGUCCUAGCCCUAAACGAUGAAUGCUUGGUGUGGCGGGUAUCGA